rnacentral:tRNA from 5 species
GCCGCUGUAGCUCAGUUGGUAGAGCAGUUGAUUCGUAAUCAAAAGGUCGUGUGUUCGAUUCACAUCAGCGGCA